UUCCAUUUCUUUCUUUAGAACUCGGGUGUUGCACUGCUGAUUUCGAUCCCGUCAUAUUGUUCUAAAAAAACCGAGUGACUGAUGUUAAGUGAAAAUAUGGCGAGCCUUGGGGGCGAACAGAUAAUUUCAACAAAAGAUCUACAAGAUUCCACACCACAAAAAACUACUAAUAGCCGUCCAUCCAGUGUAGAAAGAAAAUCACAACUCAUGGACCACCAACAAAGUGACACAAUUCAUUGGUUUGCUCAAGUCGGUGAUGACCGCGAUUCCGCUUCAGUAGCAUCGCGAGAUAGGGACGAGAAAUUACGUUUGAUUAAAGAACGCCAAAAUGAGGAAAGACAAAGAAAAAUUGAAGAGCUCAAAGCUCAAGCAGAGGCAGCUCAAAAAUAUCGUGAACAAAAAGAAGAGGAAAGAAAACGUAAAAUUGAAGAGUUAAGAAAUCGCGAAACUGAUAGAAGACUUCAGGUUGAGGAACGUAAAAAGGCAAUUAUGGAGGCAGAACGAGAAAGACGUGAAUAUAUUGUAAGAAGAAAUCAGGAACGUGACGCUAAACUUGAUAAUAAAAGGCGAAAUGAGAGAAGUUCUGUAUACGCAUUUGGCUCGUCUACACCUCGAUUACUUGACCCUGCAGAACUUGGUACUCUUUCGCAAAGUACUUAUUGGGGACAUAGAAGAUCAACUUCAAUAACAAAUGUCGCUUACACUGGUGCUCCUUUAUCACGACGUAGCUCUGAACGAGAGCUGGCCGAUGGUUCAAAGAAGCGUGCAACAUCAGCCGGCGGAAUAGACAGGCAAAAUGAAGAUCGACGAUUUAAAUCCACAUCAAUGUAUGAGGUGUUUAAUUGGGGCUAUUUAAACGAUGAGCCACCAAAAAGAUUAAAUUUAUCAUUUGCUGCAACAGAAAUUAAUAUUGACGGACCGACGAAAUAUACAAAUAUAAGAAAUAAUACUAAGGAGGAUAUAACUGAUUCGCCUCCGAUUUCAUAUCGCAGUGUAGCUAGAAGAAAGACAGAUCUAAUGCCUACGAUUCCUAGUCCAAGAGAAUCGAGUUUUGGAUCGAAAACAUCUCUACACAGCCACACUCCUCGAACACCAGGACGUGCUGUGUCAAUGACUCGAUUGGAUCAGCUAGCUCAGCCAAUUCGAAGAAACGGAGAACAUAUUCGUGCCGUGAUCGAACGCGAGCGUCAACAACAAUAUGGAUUAAUAUCAAAUACAAGUCCGAAUACCCUUACCCAAACUUCCCCCACCACCGUCACUGCGCCUAAAAGUAUGUCACGCAGUAUGACUCACUUAGCUGGAACUAAGCAAGUUUAUAGCAAUAAGCAUAUUAACGAUAACAGUCAUAUGAUUGGAGGACAGCAUUGUAUGAUGCGUCCUUUGAAAAAGAAUGAUACUAGUAGAAGCAUGACGCAACUUACAUCUGCCAAUCGCAUUAUUACUACUACAACUACUACUAAAAAAAUCACUGCUGCUCGUUCGGCAAGAUACGAGAGAAAAGAUGAUGCACCAUCUAGUUUGGCUUCAACAGGCUCCCGCUCGGGAGAUGUUACUCCAGGAGGUAGCAUUAACACUUCUAGACCGGGAAGUGCAAUGUCCACAUCCACAACAGCCUCAGGUUUGGUGCAAAGGAGGUCGGUGGGUACAGUACGUAAACCACGUCCUGCUAGUAUAGCUGUUACUGGUGUUUCGUUGAAUGAUGAAAUUAAUAAACAUAAGAAGGAGAAACCUCCAUUACCCAAAACACAUAGCACUCCGAAACGUAUUAACAAUAAUUCCAAUGCAAUGUCUAAGUCAAUGACUGUUGAGACUCCAAAAACAAAUGAAAAACGAUCUUCAGCUAAGAAGGAUACCCCAACACCUAAACCUCGUGCACUUUUACAACAGUUAACUGACAAUGUAACCGAAAAAACUACAACCGAUAGUGUUACUAGCGUAACAGAAUCAGAGACAACUGUCGAAACGAAAACUAUUGAAAAAGAACCGACGGCAGACAUACCUCAAACGAAAGAAGAAAAGGAAGCAUUAAAUGCAGUCAAAACUGAAGCAAACGCUGCUGGCGAUGUCGUAGAAGUUACAAAAGAAAUUGUCACUGAAAUCAAAACCGAGACGCAAGUACCGUCUGAGAUGACACCGACUGAAGAAAAGGUCGACACUGACACAGAAAAGGACAAGGAAAAGGAGAAAGAACCGUCGCCUCCUAAAUCAGGAAGUGAAACGCGUGAAUUAUCAGCAGAACGGCAAGAUAAUGAAAUGACGGCUUCAAUGAUUGCACGCAAAAUCACUACUGAAGAACAAGCCAAGGCUGCCUUGGCUGAAAAGCGACGAAUCAUGCGAGAGGAGGCAGAGCGUCAAGCUGAACUUGAGAGACAACGUCUUGAAGCCGAACGACAAGCUGAACUUCAGCGCCAAGCAGAAGAGGAAGAAAGACAACGGAAAUUCGAGGAGGAAACCUUACGACUAGCUGAAGAACAGAAGAAAGCAGAAGAACAGCGCUUAUUGCAAGCAAUUGAGGAAGCAAAGAAACGUGAAGAAGCUGAACGCUUAAAACGUGAAGAAGAGGAGAAACAGCGAAUUGAACGCGAGGAAGCCGAAAAGAAGGCUAAGGAGGAAGCCGAAAAGCAAAGACUGGAAAUUGCCGAACGUUUGAAAAAGGAAGAGAAAGAACGUGAAGAGCGAAGGAAGCGUGUAGAAGCGAUUAUGUCCCGAACGAGGGCAAAGGGUGGAAACAACACACCCAAUUCCACACCAACGAAGGAAAAUGACAACAAAACCAAUGGCAAUGAAAAAGAAGAAAAUGUAGAGAAAACAAAUGAACAAAGCACAGUAAACAAAGAAACAGAUCCUAAUGCACAGCCCGCAAUUACUGUUCCACAACAAGAGCCACAACAGCCUGCAGAAAUUCAAAUGACGCAAGCAGAACCCCAACCGACCCUACAGUCAGAACCACAAGUAGAACAGCAACCAGCUCAACCGCCUCAGGUAGCACCUCAGCAACAGGAAACACAACCUGAACAACAGCAACCACAAGAGGUGCAACAGCAACCACAAGAGGUUCAACCGCAACCACAAGAGGUGCAACAGCAACCACAAGAGGUUCAACAACAACCACAACAGGUUCAGCAGCCAGAGCCACAGAUGCAGCAAAAGCAACCUGAACCAUUUUCAGAGCAGUGUGCUUAUGAAAAGACUGUUACAGAUAGGGAAAAUGCCUUAAUUAAAUCAUUCUCAAAUAUGAUUAUCGACGAUUCCAAUAAAGUCUUUCAAAAUUUCCAAAAUCCAUUCAUUGCACCGCCAUCUCAAAUGACGAAUGGUAAAACACUGCAAGAACAAAAUCUAUCAAAUGAAACGGUUGUGCAGCCAUCACCCGUGGCGAAUGGCAAUGGUCAUAUUGAAAAUAUUAAUAAAAAUGACACAAACCAAUUAGUCGACUUUUCAACAGAUCAAUUGAUCGAUUUUAACAACGAGUCCCAACAAAUGACCGGCAAUGUUAAUUUUAACAACAAUAGCCUGUCAACGACAACAGGGCCGAACCUAGUCACAUCCGAUAGUCAUGAAAAUAAAGAGAUAUCACUGUUGUGAGGUUUCCAGAGUCGUCUGUCUGUCGGCUAAGAAUGUGGUAAUGAUGUGUGAAUAAAAUAAUAAAAAUAAUAUUUAGAUUCAAGUAAAAACCAUAAAAACAAACACUAGUGAAGAUAAAAAAGAUAUCCAUCAUCUUUUCUCUACAUAUUCUAACUGCAAAGAUAUUGCUAUUGAAAGAAAAAUGCUAGAACGUGAUCGCGAGCGCAGGUAACUAAUAACAUUAAUAUUAUUUCGCAACGUGUUAGUGACGAAGCAACAACAAUAAUAAUUUAGUGAGAAUCCAAGGAAACGAAAAAUAAUAAAAUGAUAAACAUUACAGAUAUAGAUAUGCAUAUAUGUACUAUUCUUUACAUUGUAUUACUAUUUGUUCGGAUAUUUAGCACAAAAUGCAUUUUGUAUCCAAGAUGGGAGAAGUGGGCGAAAAAUAAAAGCAAAAAAUGAAUGGAAAUAAACAUGAUGAGAUUCCUUUUUAUUAUUCAUAUUAUAUUAUUGUAGUAUUUAUCACAAAUAAAGGAAGCAAGUAAGCGAAAAUAGAAGGAACAAAAAUUAAAUGCUAUUUCCAAUAGAAAAGAAAAACAAUUUACAGACAACAUGAAAAAUAUAUUUUUAAUAAAAUAGCGACACUAGUAUACAGGGAAUUUAUAUGGGAGCUUUUUUGAUUCGCACCUUUUCGCAUAAAAAUUCUAGAAGUCUUAAUCAAUGAAUCAAAAUUUAGACAGAAUCUAGAGUGGUUACUUCCUAUAAUAUUCCCUUGCUUUCAUGGUGAUAGGAGUCCGCCAAGGACGCAGCUGCUGAAAAUCACCAACAUUUAGAUGCAUCAAAUUGAGAAAUGAAUAUUAAUGGGUCGGUUCUCUAUUAACUAUUUCAAUUGAAAGAAAAAAUGUAUAAAAUCCACUGCUAUAACUGUUAAUACACAAUAACGUGAAUGGAACAAUAGUUCAUAAUUAUUGUUUAGUGUGUAUAACCAAUCUGCGAUAAGUUCUAUCGUGUUUGGGUUGAAUGUUUUGUAAUCGUAUAUAAAAUUUGUUUACCUUUGCUCCUAGAGUUGUUUUUCGUUAGGGAACGUACACUUUGAUCCGAUUUCCAAUCACUUUCAUCUGUCGUAUGAUUCUAAUUGGAUAUUUAGAAGAAAAAUGAAGCACGGUUGGGAGGAAAGAAUCAGAUAUUUUUGAUAGAAGAUUAAUCCAAGUCGGGGUUUUCACAGUAAUUAAAAAUUUAAGUGAAAUGAAAUGAAAAGUGCACUUUGUUGAAAUAAUUGAUCCAUAUUAUUGUAUAGUAUUAUAAAUUUAUUCGAAAUUUUUUGGCAAUCCUCUUUCGUACGGUUUGAUUAUUAUUUCUGAGUAGUUAUCAUGCCAGCAGUCGUUAUGCCGCUAGUAUUACUAUUAUCUAAGCCAAACUUGCAUGGAACCGAUAUUCUUUGAACACACAUCAUAGAAAUGAAAACUACUGCCUAGCCGACGCGCCGCGCAGAUAUCGAUUUAAACAGUGCUUAGACGAAAUCGCAAACAAUAACUGCAAUGUAUUUCUUCAUGUUGUCUAAUUUUUUAAAUAAAGUAAUCCUUUGUUAUAAUAAAUAUAUUUAUAACUAAUUUUUUACAAUCAUAUUUAUUUGAAACGAAAUAUAAAAGAAAAGUAAUCAUUUUGUUGUAAUUUAUUAUUAUCAACUGUCUAUUAUUGGAAAAAGUAAUUACUUUCUUUUAAUUUAUAAUCAUAGUAAAUAUCAAAAUCAUUCUUAUGCCGUUUGUAUCAGAUAAUGUAGGAAGAAACUACAACAUUCAAUUCAAAGAUAAAACAUAAAUUUCUAAAGAAAAACCACAAGCGUCGUUGAAAUUUUUGCAAAAGCAAGAAACAAAAAUCCAGUUAGUAAUUUUCGGAAUCACAUAUAACACAUAUUUACAGUAAUAAAAAGUGGUAAUUUUUAAUGGAAAAAUUGUAUUAAACCUUAUUUAAAAGAAAUUAAAUCAAAAUAAUAAAUUUAAGUCGUGAAAGUGGGAAAAAAGUAUAUAAAAAUUGUGUAUAUCUAUUCUCUACAGACAUUUAAAAACAAUAUUUAUCUUGCUAACAUCAACAACAAACGAAAGAAACAUCUAUUAAAUAAAAGUUUAUUGUACUAUUGUAUGACAUUUUAUGCGAGAUGCUUGUAAUAAAAUGCAUUACAUGUAAUA
rnacentral:misc_RNA from 1 species